ACUCAACAGAGAUUCUUUAAAAAGGGUGAGUCUAAGUUGUAAAAGCGCGCCGCUCCCAAUGUAUUUUGGGAUGAGCGGAUUCUUGAUCAGCUUGUUAGCCCUAAACUUGUUUUUAGGGAGUUU
rnacentral:sRNA from 2 species